rnacentral:rRNA from 1 species
AUUGAACGCUGGCGGCAGGCCUAACACAUGCAAGUCGAACGGUAACAGGAAGAAGCUUGCUUCUUUGCUGACGAGUGGCGGACGGGUGAGUAAUGUCUGGGAAACUGCCUGAUGGAGGGGGAUAACUACUGGAAACGGUAGCUAAUACCGCAUAACGUCGCAAGACCAAAAAGGGGGACCUUCGGGCCUCUUGCCAUCGGAUGUGCCCAGAUGGGAUUAGCUAGUAGGUGGGGUAACGGCUCACCUAGGCGACGAUCCCUAGCUGGUCUGAGAGGAUGACCAGCCACACUGGAACUGAGACACGGUCCAGACUCCUACGGGAGGCAGCAGUGGGGAAUAUUGCACAAUGGGCGCAAGCCUGAUGCAGCCAUGCCGCGUGUAUGAAGAAGGCCUUCGGGUUGUAAAGUACUUUCAGCGGGGGGGAAGGGAGUAAAGUUAAUACCUUUGCUCAUUGACGUUACCCGCAGAAGAAGCACCGGCUAACUCCGUG